rnacentral:rRNA from 1 species
AUACUGUGAGCUCGAUGAGUAGGGCGGGACACGUGGUAUCCUGUCUGAAUAUGGGGGGACCAUCCUCCAAGGCUAAAUACUCCUGACUGACCGAUAGUGAACCAGUACCGUGAGGGAAAGGCGAAAAGAACCCCGGCGAGGGGAGUGAAAAAGAACCUGAAACCGUGUACGUACAAGCAGUGGGAGCACGCUUCGGCGUGUGACUGCGUACCUUUUGUAUAAUGGGUCAGCGACUUAUAUUCUGUAGCAAGGUUAACCGAAUAGGGGAGCCGAAGGGAAACCGAGUCUUAACUGGGCGUUAAGUUGCAGGGUAUAGACCCGAAACCCGGUGAUCUAGCCAUGGGCAGGUUGAAGGUUGGGUAACACUAACUGGAGGACCGAACCGACUAAUGUUGAAAAAUUAGCGGAUGACUUGUGGCUGGGGGUGAAAGGCCAAUCAAACCGGGAGAUAGCUGGUUCUCCCCGAAAGCUAUUUAGGUAGCGCCUCGUGAAUUCAUCUCCGGGGGUAGAGCACUGUUUCGGCAAGGGGGUCAUCCCGACUUACCAACCCGAUGCAAACUGCGAAUACCGGAGAAUGUUAUCACGGGAGACACACGGCGGGUGCUAACGUCCGUCGUGAAGAGGGAAACAACCCAGACCGCCAGCUAAGGUCCCAAAGUCAUGGUUAAGUGGGAAACGAUGUGGGAAGGCCCAGACAGCCAGGAUGUUGGCUUAGAAGCAGCCAUCAUUUAAAGAAAGCGUAAUAGCUCACUGGUCGAGUCGGCCUGCGCGGAAGAUGUAACGGGGCUAAACCAUGCACCGAAGCUGCGGCAGCGACACUAUGUGUUGUUGGGUAGGGGAGCGUUCUGUAAGCCUGUGAAGGUGUGCUGUGAGGCAUGCUGGAGGUAUCAGAAGUGCGAAUGCUGACAUAAGUAACGAUAAAGCGGGUGAAAAGCCCGCUCGCCGGAAGACCAAGGGUUCCUGUCCAACGUUAAUCGGGGCAGGGUGAGUCGACCCCUAAGGCGAGGCCGAAAGGCGUAGUCGAUGGGAAACAGGUUAAUAUUCCUGUACUUGGUGUUACUGCGAAGGGGGGACGGAGAAGGCUAUGUUGGCCGGGCGACGGUUGUCCCGGUUUAAGCGUGUAGGCUGGUUUUCCAGGCAAAUCCGGAAAAUCAAGGCUGAGGCGUGAUGACGAGGCACUACGGUGCUGAAGCAACAAAUGCCCUGCUUCCAGGAAAAGCCUCUAAGCAUCAGGUAACAUUAAAUCGUACCCCAAACCGACACAGGUGGUCAGGUAGAGAAUACCAAGGCGCUUGAGAGAACUCGGGUGAAGGAACUAGGCAAAAUGGUGCCGUAACUUCGGGAGAAGGCACGCUGAUAUGUAGGUGAAGUCCCUCGCGGAUGGAGCUGAAAUCAGUCGAAGAUACCAGCUGGCUGCAACUGUUUAUUAAAAACACAGCACUGUGCAAACACGAAAGUGGACGUAUACGGUGUGACGCCUGCCCGGUGCCGGAAGGUUAAUUGAUGGGGUUAGCGGUAACGCGAAGCUCUUGAUCGAAGCCCCGGUAAACGGCGGCCGUAACUAUAACGGUCCUAAGGUAGCGAAAUUCCUUGUCGGGUAAGUUCCGACCUGCACGAAUGGCGUAAUGAUGGCCAGGCUGUCUCCACCCGAGACUCAGUGAAAUUGAACUCGCUGUGAAGAUGCAGUGUACCCGCGGCAAGACGGAAAGACCCCGUGAACCUUUACUAUAGCUUGACACUGAACAUUGAGCCUUGAUGUGUAGGAUAGGUGGGAGGCUUUGAAGUGUGGACGCCAGUCUGCAUGGAGCCGACCUUGAAAUACCACCCUUUAAUGUUU